rnacentral:lncRNA from 1 species
GAAUCUUUUUCUUGUCUUUUUUCAAAAAACAAACUGACAGAAGAAAAUAGAAGUGUAAAUUGAAAUGUGUGCAAAAAUGAGCGUGGUCGUUGAGCGCCGAUCUUCCCUUCCGAAAACCUGCUGCGUUGUUUUAUUUUGAAAGCCGAUACCGGAAGCGCGUUAUUACUUUGCGGGGGGUCUUUACGCGCGUGAGCAACGGUUCCGUACCUUGGAGGUGAGCGGAGUUAAAAAUCGGACCGAGACAGUCGCGUCGAGCUCGGAUGGCGGCACGCGCUCUGGUGCGGUGAAAUCUGCGGGAGGAAAACGCACCAGUGAAGAGUUGCCGCGACUUGGCUGCGUUUCGGACUGAGCCAAACCGGACCGACGACGCCGCUCUGGCUCCGAGAAUCGAACAGCCUCAUAAAGUGACGGAGUUUGCUUCUUUUUCAAGGAUUUUCGACUCUGCUGCUUUUUGCGCAACUGUCGCCUGACGCGGCGGAAGAAGAAGUCCACAAAACCGGGAUUCGGUCUGUCUAUGCAGCCCGCCCGGACCUUUCUGCCUCCUUGACGGUUAGAUCGUUUACGUCUCAGAAUCAAUUCUUUCCAAUCUGGUUUGCGGAUUUUGAAAAGCCCAGAGAAGUCGCUGGCAGCUGACGCGGCGCGGCGCGGACGCAUCUUCACCUCAUUUUGCGCAAAGACUUGGUUAUUUAAAAAGAAGAAAGAAGAAAGAAAAAAGAAAACCCAAGAAUGACUAAUCACGCAGUGGAAUUGCGCUGUUCUCCUGCCCUCCUCGCCUCAGCCUCCUAGUCUAGCCCGUGUUUUUAUGGAUCUCGGCACGCAGGAGGCGUCUGCAGCCAAGGCGCGCGUCAUCCUCCCGCUGAUGCCUGGCGAUUUAUGAUUUUUGCGGGGCGUUUGCGGGGGUUCGCGCAGGGACUUGCUUUCAGGAGCACCGCGCUUCGGGAUACUUGGAAGUUUGGUCUCCCAUGUGGACGGAAACGCCGUCGUUGAGCUCGAGAAGACGCGGUUCGGCUGCGCUUCCCUGACAGACCCGCCGUCAGAAAUCUCACCUUCAGCCGCCUGAGGUCCGAAACUGCAGCAACAGCGCGCGGAGCUCCGCAGCCUGAUCCAUUCAGCACCGGCAACUGGGACAACUGGGAUUUACCGUCUGGGAAUUCUACCAUGUCAGGUGUACGGGACUGCAGAUGGACUCUCCUCAUCUGUGUGGCGGCGCUUUCAUAUGCGGAAUGAUGAGGAUGAAUCCUGGUUCCAUUCCGGUCCCGUGUUUGCAGUGGUUGGCGCAGCUCCGCAAACGUGAUUCACC